rnacentral:rRNA from 1 species
UGGGGAAUCUUGCACAAUGGGCGAAAGCCUGAUGCAGCGACGCCGCGUGUGUGAUGAAGGUCUUCGGAUCGUAAAGCACUUUCGGCCGGGAAGAAAAACCCUGUGGCUAAUAUCCACGGGGUGUGACGGUACCGGCAGAAGAAGCAACGGCUAACUCUGUGCCAGCAGCCGCGGUAAUACAGAGGUUGCGAGCGUUGUUCGGAAUUAUUGGGCGUAAAGCGCGUGUAGGCGGGAUGGCAAGUCGGGUGUGAAAGCCCUCAGCUCAACUGAGGAAGUGCGCCCGAAACUACUGUUCUUGAGUGCCGGAGAGGGUGGCGGAAUUCCCGGUGUAGAGGUGAAAUUCGUAGAUAUCGGGAGGAACACCAGUGGCGAAGGCGGCCACCUGGACGGACACUGACGCUGAGACGCGAAAGCGUGGGGAGCAAACAGGAUUAGAUACCCUGGUAGUCCACGCCGUAAACGAUGGGUGCUAGGUGUUGUGGGUGUCGACCCCCGCAGUGCCGUAGCUAACGCAUUAAGCACCCCGCCUGGGAAGUACGGCCGCAAGGCUAA